rnacentral:rRNA from 1 species
CUAAACUGGGGAAAGUCCGUCGAAACUGGUAGGCUUGAGGAACGUAGGGGGAGGCGGAACUCUCGGAGUAGCGGUGGAAUGCGUAGAUACCGAGAGGUACCUCGAUGGCGAAGGCAGCCUCCUGGGCGUUUCCUGACGCUGAAGCGUUAAGGUCAGGGGAGCGAAGGGGAUUAGAUACCCCCGUAGUCCUGACUUCAAACGAUGUGGGCUAGGUAUCGGGACAUGAAGAGCUCGUUGCCGUAGUUAACGCGUUAAGCCCACCGCCUGGGGAUUACGUCCGCAAGGAUGAAACUCAAGGGAAUUGACGGGGGCCCACACAACCGGCGGAGCACGUGGUUUAAUUCGAUGAUAAGCGAAGAACCUUACCAGGGCUUGACCUAGCGGUAGUAGGACCCCGAAAGGGGAACGACCUCCAGCUUUGCUUGAGGAGCC